GUAUUCACUUUGACAGUACAUAUACCGAAAUUGAAGCAACAUAGAAAAGAUUAACAUGGACCCUAUGCAGUAGUGACAAGUUCAUAAAGCAUUUUAUAUUUUA
rnacentral:snRNA from 1 species